rnacentral:rRNA from 1 species
UAGGCCCUACGGGGGGCAGCAGUGAGGAAUAUUGGUCAAUGGGCGAGAGCCUGAACCAGCCAAGUCGCGUGAAGGAUGGCGGCCCUACGGGUUGUAAACUUCUUUUGUCAGGGAGCAAUUGGGUCCACGCGUGGGCUUAGCGAGAGUACCUGAAGAAAAAGCAUCGGCUAACUCCGUGCCAGCAGCCGCGGUAAUACGGAGCAUGCGAGCGUUAUCCGGAUUUAUUGGGUUUAAAGGGUGCGUAGUCGGAAUAUCAAGUCAGCGGUAAAAAUU